rnacentral:rRNA from 1 species
CUCCUACGGAGGCAGCAGUAGGGAAUAUUGCACAAUGGAGGAAACUCUGAUGCAGCGACGCCGCGUGAGUGACGAAGGCCUUCGGGUUGUUAAAGGCUACUGUUCUCAGGGAAAAAGAAAGUGAUUGUACCUGACGAAGAAAGGACCGGCUAACUUCGUGCCAGCAGCCGCGGUAAUUC